CUAGUACGAGAGGACCGGAGUGGACGAACCUCUGGUGUUCGGGUUGUGUCGCCAGACGCAUUGCCCGGUAGCUAAGUUCGGAAUCGAUAACCGCUGAAAGCAUCUAAGCGGGAAGCGAGCCCUGAGAUGAGUCUUCCCUGAUACUUUAAGUAUCCUAAAGGGUUGUCGGAGACUACGACGUUGAUAGGUCAGGUGUGUAAGUGCUGUGAGGCAUUGAGCUAACUGAUACUAAUUGCCCGUGAGGCUUAACCAUACAACACCCAAGGGGUUU
rnacentral:rRNA from 1 species